rnacentral:rRNA from 1 species
UACGUAGGGAGCAAGCGUUGUCCGGAAUUAUUGGGCGUAAAGAGCUCGUAGGUGGCCAACUAAGUCAGACGUGAAAUCCCUCGGCUUAACCGGGGAACUGCGUCUGAUACUGGAUGGCUUGAGUUCGGGAGAGGGAUGCGGAAUUCCAGGUGUAGCGGUGAAAUGCGUAGAUAUCGGGAAGAACACCCGUGGCGAAGGCGGUUCUCUGGGACGGUACUGACGCUGAGACGCGAAAGCGUGGGGAGCGAACAGG